rnacentral:SRP_RNA from 1 species
GCCAGGCGUGGUGGCGGGCGCCUGUAGUCCCAGCUACUCGGGAGGCUGAGAUGGGAGAAUUGCUUGAACCCAGGAGGUGGAGGUUGCAGUGAGCCGAGAUCACACCACUGCACUCCAGCCUGGGUGAUAGAGCGAGACUCCGUCUCAA